rnacentral:rRNA from 1 species
AGUCCGCGGGGGAUAAGCUCCGCGGUCGAGAGGGAAACAACCCAGACCAUCUGCUCAGGUCCCAAAGUCGUUGCUUAGUCACUAAGGAAGUUGAAUUGCGGAGACAGCCAGGAUGUUGGCUUAGAAGCAGCCAUCAUUUAAAAAGUGCGUAAUAGCUUACCAGUCGAGCAUUCCUGUGCCGAUAAUUAACGGGACUCAAGUUCACCGCCGAAGCCUCGGAAUUGAAUCCAAUGGCGGAUUCAAUUGGUAGGGGAGCGUUCCAUAUCAGGCUGAAGGAGGAUCGUAAGGCCCUCUGGACGAAAUGGAAGUGAUUAUGCCGGCAUGAGUAGCGAUAAAACGGAUGGGAAUUCCGUUCGCCGUAAGCCUAAGGUUUCCUGGGGUAGGCAAGUCCGCCCAGGGUUAGCCGGAUCCUAAGGCGAGGCCGAAAGGCGUAGUCGAUGGACAACAGGUUAAUAUUCCUGUGCUACCCGCAAGCGUUUGAGCGGAGGCGUGACGGAGAGGUUAGAUGGCCGACCCGAUGGAUGGAUCGGUCCCGAGCGUAGGGGGGAACAAGCGAGGUAAAUCCCGUAGUUCCAUUCAACCCCCAGGCAGGGAAGCUUGCUCCAUUUAUACCUCUUCCAAGAAAAGUCGUCGCCGCGAGCCCAUGGGUAUCCGUACCGUAAACCGACACAGGUAGGCGAGGAGAGCAUCCUCAGGCGCUCGAGAUAACUCUCGUUAAGGAACUCGGCAAAAUGACUCCGUAACUUCGGGAGAAGGAGUGCCAUCUAGGGUGAAGGGGCUUGCCCCCAGAGCUCAGGAUGGCCGCAGUGAAAAGGCCCAAGCGACUGUUUACUAAAAACACAGGUCUGUGCUAAGACAGAUAGUCGAUGUAUACAGACUGACGCCUGCUCGGUGCCGGUAGGUGAAGGGAAUGGGUUAACCUUCGGGUGAAGCUCUGAACCGAAGCCCCGGUAAACGGCGGCCCUAACCUUGAGGGUCCUAAGGUAGCGAAGUUCCUUGUCGGGUAAGUUCCGACCCGCACGAAUGGCGUAACGACUUGGGCACUGUCUCAACGAGAGACUCGGCGAAAUUGUAGUAGUGGUGAAGAUGCCACUUUCCCGCAGCAAGACGGAAAGACCCCGUGAACCUUUACUGCAGCUUAGUAUUGGGUUUUGGCAUGUAGUGUGUAGGAUAGGUGGGAGACUGUGAAGAGGGGGCGUUAGCCCUCUUGGAGUCACACGUGAAAUACCACUCUUUGCAUGUUAAAGUUCUAACCGGCUUCCAUGAAUCUGGGGCUGGGACAGUGCUUGGUGGGCAGUUUGGCUGGGGCGGCCUCCUCCCAAAAAGUAACGGAGGAGUCCAAUGGCUUCCUCAGUGCGGUCAGCAAUCGCACGUUGAGCAUAAGGGUAUAAGGAAGCUUGACUGUGAGACCGAUAGGUCGAGCAGAUGUGAAAGCAGGGCCUAGUGAUCCGGCGUAUUCCGAGUGGAAGGGACGUCGCUCAUCAGAUAAAAGGUACUCCGGGGAUAACAGGCUGAUAACUCCCAAGAGUCCAAAUCGACGGAGUUGUUUGGCACCUCGAUGUCGGCUCAUCGCAUCCUGGGGCUGUAGAAGGUCCCAAGGGUUUGGCUGUUCGCCAAUUAAAGCGGUACGCGAGCUGGGUUUAGACCGGCGUGAGCCAGGUCGGUCCCUAUCUGCUGUGGGUGCAGGAGACCUGAAGGGGUUUACCCUUAGUACGAGAGGAUUGGGGUGGACGAACCUCUGGUGUUCCAGUUGUCGUGCUAACGGCAUCGCUGGGUAGCUAUGUUCGGAUAGGAUAAGCGCUGAAGGCAUAUAAGCGCGAAGCCCUCCCUAAAAAUAGGUCUCCAUGUGACUUGUCACGAGAGGCACCUUGAAGACGACAAGGUUGAUAGGCCAGAAGUGUAAGCGCAGCAAUGCGUUCAGCGGACUGGUACUAAUUUGCCGAUCGCUUGCCACA